rnacentral:rRNA from 1 species
GAUGAACGCUGGCGGCGUGCCUAAUACAUGCAAGUCGAGCGAACGGACGAGAAUCUUGCUUCUCUUAUGUUAGCGGCGGGUGGGUGAUUAACACGUGGAUAACCUACCUAUAAGACUGGGAUAACUUCGGGAAACCGUAGCUAACACCGGAUAAUAUUUUGAACCGCAUGGUUCAAAAGAGAAAGACGGUCUUGCUGUCACUUAUAGAUGUAUCCGCGCUGCAUUAGCUAGUUGGUACGGUAACGGCUUACCAAGGCAACGAUGCAUAGCCGACCUGAGAGGAUGAUCGGCCACACUGGAACUGAGACACGGUCCAGACUCCUACGGGAGGCAGCAGUGGGGAAUCUUCCACAAUGGGCGAAAGCCUGACGGAGCAACGCCGCGUGAGUGAUGAAGGUCUUCGGAUCGUAAAGCUCUGUUAGUAGGGAAGAACGUAUGUGAGUGUAACUGUGCCCAUCUUGACGGUACCAAAACAAAAAGCCACGGCUAACUACGUG